UACGAAGGGGGCUAGCGUUGCUCGGAAUUACUGGGCGUAAAGGGCGCGUAGGCGGACAGUUUAGUCAGAGGUGAAAGCCCAGGGCUCAACCUUGGAACCUGCCUUUGAUACUGACUGUCUUGAGUUCGGGAGAGGUGAGUGGAAUGCCGAGUGUAGAGGUGAAAUUCGUAGAUAUUCGGCGGAACACCAGUGGCGAAGGCGACUCACUGGCCCGAUACUGACGCUGAGGCGCGAAAGCGUGGGGAGCAAACAGG
rnacentral:rRNA from 1 species